UACGAAGGGGGCUAGCGUUGUUCGGAGUUACUGGGCGUAAAGCGUGCGCAGGCGGUUCGUUGUGUCGGCGGUGAAAGCCCCGGGCUUAACCUGGGAAUGGCCGUUGAAACUGGCGGACUGGAGUGUGGCAGAGGGGGGUGGAAUUCCGCGUGUAGCAGUGAAAUGCGUAGAGAUGCGGAGGAACACCGAUGGCGAAGGCAGCCCCCUGGGCUAACACUGACGCUCAGGCACGAAAGCGUGGGGAGCAAACAGG
rnacentral:rRNA from 1 species